rnacentral:rRNA from 1 species
AACGAACGCUGGCGGCAUGCCUAACACAUGCAAGUCGAACGAGACCUUCGGGUCUAGUGGCGUACGGGUGCGUAACGCGUGGGAACCUGCCCUUAGGUUCGGAAUAACUCCCCGAAAGGGGUGCUAAUACCGGAUAAUGUCUUCGGACCAAAGAUUUAUCGCCUUUGGAUGGGCCCGCGUUGGAUUAGCUAGUUGGUAGGGUAAAAGCCUACCAAGGCGACGAUCCAUAGCUGGUCUGAGAGGAUGAUCAGCCACACUGGGACUGGGACACGGCCCAGACUCCUACGGGAGGCAGCAGUGGGGAAUAUUGGACAAUGGGCGAAAGCCUGAUCCAGCAAUGCCGCGUGAGUGAUGAAGGCCUUAGGGUUGUAAAGCUCUUUUACCCGGGAUGAUAAUGACAGUACCGGGAGAAUAAGCUCCGGCUAACUCCGUG